GUGGGGAAUUUUGGACAAUGGGCGCAAGCCUGAUCCAGCAAUGCCGCGUGCAGGAAGAAGGCCUUCGGGUUGUAAACUGCUUUUGUACGGAACGAAACGGUCCGGGUUAAUACCCUGGGCUAAUGACGGUACCGUAAGAAUAAGCACCGGCUAACUACGUGCCAGCAGCCGCGGUAAUACGUAGGGUGCAAGCGUUAAUCGGAAUUACUGGGCGUAAAGCGUGCGCAGGCGGUUUUGUAAGACAGGCGUGAAAUCCCCGGGCUGAACCGGGGAAUUGCGCUUGUGACUGGAAGGCUGGAGUGCGGCAGAGGGGGAUGGAAUUCCGCGUGUAGCAGUGAAAUGCGUAGAUAUGCGGAGGAACACCGAUGGCGAAGGCAAUCCCCUGGGCCUGCACUGACGCUCAUGCACGAAAGCGUGGGGAGCAAACAGGAUUAGAAACCCCAGUAGUCC
rnacentral:rRNA from 1 species